CCCAGCUGUCUUCUCCAGGUCAGCAUUGCGUCUCCUCCAAGACUCAGGUGUCCACAAAUACUGUAAUCAAGGCAAAGGAGUCUCACACUGCCCAGAACCAGCUGUUGGAUCAAGUCACUGUUGCCUCCAAGAUGAUCAGCCAACCAGCCACAUCCUUCAGUUCUCCUGUUGUAAAAACAGUUGCCAGUUAUGAUGAGAAGCCACUGCCGGCAUUUCAGAGGAAAGAAUGGCUGGGAGAGGCCUCCCAGAGCCUCAUGGAGGAGUACAGCCUUCAAAGUGACAAUCAAAGGACUCCACAGAGCCCAUAAAUGACUGCAGAGACAGAGCUUCUAACAGAGGAGGCCCAGACAGAGGCUGGACUUUCCAUAGAGGUCUAUGGAGAUGAUCUGGUGGCUUGUGCAUAUUCCAAAAACUGGUUCCACAGACAGGAUGCACUUCUAGGAGUCCACAAGAAGCUGCUGGAAGCAUCUCCCAUGACUCCAAAAGAACAGCUGAGAAACAUGAUUAGAGCUGCAGUGUUUCUGAUUCAGAAGAC